UCAGCCUCAGGUUCCGCAAGCUGAUUUUGAAAGAAAACAAGAGCAGUUGUACGGCUGACUUUCCCAAGAAGUACGUGCUCUUCUAUUCUAGAGACAGCCAAAAGAACAAGAGGCCGCUGAAGACAGAACUUCUCUGUAAACACUUGCACAUGGCCAUAUGUGCAGCCAUCUAUUAGAAGGAGACGAAGAUGGGAUUCCCCUUUAUUAAGAGAGUUCUGCGCCUUUUGACGCUCUGACAUUACUUUCAGCUGAAGAACUGCUAAGUCCUGGAUUUCUCCGCUGAUCGUCAACCACAGGAAGCUCGGUAGUUCAGUAAUUAUUUUGUCAUUUAUCAACUGGAGAAGAGGCUGGGAGCUCCCUUUGGAAGGAACAUAAAAUCUGUGAAGUUUGAACAAGCAGCCUUCCCAAGAUGUACCAAAUUUCUCAACUGAUGUCGACACCAGUCGCAAGCAAAUGUUCUUCUGGAUCCAAGAAAGAACAUGCUGAAAAGCCGUCUCCCACAUGCAUUUUCCAAAGUCUUUCCUGUGAUUUCCUGGAUGGUGACAGUUACUUUGAAUGCUGCUCCAUAGAUCCCCUGACAGGCUCCCACUUUAGCUGCCGCCGAAGUCCCAGACUGCUCACCAACGGCUACUACAUUUGGACAGAAGACAGUUUCCUCUUUGACAAAGAUGGCAACAUAACUCUGAGCCCAUCCCAGACUAGUAUUCUGUACAAGGAAAACUUAGUUCGAAUAUUUAGAAAGAAAAAGAGAAUCCGCCGUUCUUUUUCUUCUCUCUUCAACUUCAGUCCCUCUGAAUCCUGGCUGCAUGGAAGUAUGUUCGAUGAUGUUGAUUCUUCCCCGAGUGAGGACAUCUGGUUGGAGGGGGUCAGAAGGCUGGACACGCACCAGCGCAGUGAAAAUGGUGGAGGUGAUUUGGACUGUUCUCUGAUUGAUGACUGGGCGUCAGAGAAGCCGAAUGCAGAAUCUGUGAAAGCAUCCUCUUCCGGCCACGUCACAUCUCAGACUCCCAGAGAAAACUCCCACAACUUGUCCCUUCAGUCCCAGUUGGUGGCUUCUGAACAUCUCCAAGGGAACGUUUUGAAUCAUUCAAAAGCCAGUUUGUUGCAAGAGGUUUCCUUUCAAGUGAUUCUGCUUGUUGCAUGCUUAAUCAUUUCUGCGUGUACAAGAUGGUUUCUGGGAGGACUAUUAGCCAGUGUCUUCACAUGCCCUUUGAUGAUAACUAUUACUUAUGUUGUCAAAUCAUUGUUUCUCCGCCUGACCAGCUAUUUCAAAGCCACCGCUUGUGCUCGGUUUGCCAAAAUUUGACAACCAUUUAGGAGAGCCUCUGAGGAUUGUCUUCAAUCUGAAUAUUCCUAAAUGGUCUGGCUUGGAGUUGACUAGGAAUCAACCGCAUUAUUGGAAGGAAGAAGUGCUAGAAAAUGACAAAUCUCCUCAGCUUGAAGUAAAUAAAUAAACUAAUCAAGGAAAAAACAAGGUCGCCAGCCUUCUGAAAUCAAUAGCGUCUUCCCUCUGUGGACACGUGUGCUGAUGGGUCCGACUUUUUGGAUAGCAGCAGAGGCAGGAUUGAACCCUCCAUCUCUUUUGGUUCCUUUGUACCCUUGGCUUCCUGCUCAUCCCUGCGAUAAUGGGGAGAACAUCUUUAGCAUCACAAUGCAUCAAAACUGUAUCAGUUAAUGUUCUUUGUUGUUGGUAGUGAAAACUGACCCUGGCAAUAG